rnacentral:rRNA from 1 species
GUUGAACGCUGGCGGAAUGCUUUACACAUGCAAGUCGAACGGCAGCACGGACUUCGGUCUGGUGGCGAGUGGCGAACGGGUGAGUAAUGUAUCGGAACGUGCCCAGUCGUGGGGGAUAACGUAGUGAAAAUUACGCUAAUACCGCAUACGAUCUAUGGAUGAAAGCGGGGGAUCGCAAGACCUCGCGCGAUUGGAGCGGCCGAUAUCAGAUUAGGUAGUUGGUGGGGUAAAGGCCCACCAAGCCAACGAUCUGUAGCUGGUCUGAGAGGACGACCAGCCACACUGGAACGGGGACACGGUCCAGACUCCUACGGGAGGCAGCAGUGGGGAAUUUUGGACAAUGGGCGAAAGCCUGAUCCAGCCAUUCCGCGCGCAGGAUGAAGGCCCUCGGGUUGUAAACUGCUUUUGUACAGAACGAAAAGGUUUCUACUAAUACUAGGAGCUCAUGACGGUACUGUAAGAAUAAGCACCGGCUAACUACGUGCCAGCAGCCGCCGUAA